rnacentral:tRNA from 1 species
UUACUGGUAGGUUAUUUAAACUGACAAAUUGUGGUUUUGUUGAUUACUAUUAUUUUUUAUUCGUGUA